CCUACGGGUGGCAGCAGUGAGGAAUAUUGGUCAAUGGGCGGAAGCCUGAACCAGCCAAGUAGCGUGCAGGAUGACGGCCCUACGGGAUGUAAACUGCUUUUAUACGGGAAUAACGCGCCUUACGUGUAGGGCUUUGCAUGUACCGUAUGAAUAAGGACCGGCUAAUUCCGUGCCAGCAGCCGCGUUAAUACGGAAGGUCCGGGCGUUAUCCGUGUUUAUUGGUUUUAAAGGGGGCGUAGGCCGCAUGUCAAGCGUGCUGUUAAAAUGCCGGGCGCAACCCGGGCCUUGCAGCGCGAACUGGCGUGCUUGAGUCCGCGGAAGGCAGGCGGAAUUCGGGGUGUAGCGGUGAAAUGCUUAGAUAUGACGAAGAACCCCGAUUGCGAAGGCAGCUUGCUGCAGCGGAACUGACGCUGAUGCUCGAAAGCGCGGGUAUCGAACAGGAUUAGAUACCCGAGUAGUC
rnacentral:rRNA from 1 species